rnacentral:rRNA from 1 species
UACGGAGGAUGCAAGCGUUAUCCGGAUUCAUUGGGUUUAAAGGGUGCGUAGGCGGGCUAUUAAGUCAGUGGUGAAAUCCUGCAGCUUAACUGCAGAACUGCCGUUGAUACUGAUAGUCUUGAGUUUGGUUAAGGUAGGCGGAAUGUGUAAUGUAGCGGUGAAAUGCUUAGAUAUUACACAGAACACCAAUUGCGUAGGCAGCUUACUGAGCAGACACUGACGCUGAGGCACGAAAGCGUGGGGAUCAAACA